rnacentral:rRNA from 1 species
AUGAACGCUGGCGGCGUGCCUAAUACCUGCAAGUCGAGCGAACAGACGAGGAGCUUGCUCCUCUGACGUUAGCGGCGGACGGGUGAGUAACACGUGGAUAACCUACCUAUAAGACUGGGAUAACUUCGGGAAACCGGAGCUAAUACCGGAUAAUAUAUUGAACCGCAUGGUUCACUAGUGAAAGACGGUUUUGCUGUUACUUAUAGAUGGAUCCGCGCCGCAUUAGCUAGUUGGUAAGGUAACGGCUUACCAAGGCAACGAUGCGUAGCCGACCUGAGAGGGUGAUCGGCCACACUGGAACUGAGACACGGUCCAGACUCCUACGGGAGGCAGCAGUAGGGAAUCUUCCGCAAUGGGGGAAAGCCUGACGGAGCGACGCCGCGUGAGUGAUGAAGGUCUUCGGAUCGUAAAACUCUGUUAUUAGGGAAGAACAAAUGUGUAAGUAACUAUGCACGUCUUGACGGUACCUAAUCAAAAAGCCACGGCUAACUACGUG